rnacentral:rRNA from 1 species
GGUGAGUAAUGCCUAGGAAUCUGCCUGGUAGUGGGGGAUAACGUUCGGAAACGGACGCUAAUACCGCAUACGUCCUACGGGAGAAAGCAGGGGACCUUCAGGCCUUGCGCUAUCACAUGAGCCUAGGUCGGAUUACCUAGUUGGUGAGGUAAUGGCUCACCAAGGCGACGAUCCGUAACUGGUCUGAGAGGAUGAUCAGUCACACUGGAACUGAGACACGGUCCAGACUCCUACGGGAGGCAGCAGUGGGGAAUAUUGGACAAUGGGCGAAAGCCUGAUCCAGCCAUGCCGCGUGUGUGAAGAAGGUCUUCGGAUUGUAAAGCACUUUAAGUUGGGAGGAAGGGUUGUAGAUUAAUACUCUGCAAUUUUGACGUUACCGACAGAAUAAGCACCGGCUAACUCUGUGCCAGCAGCCGCGGUAAUACAAAGGGUGCAGGCGUUAAUCGGAAUUACUGGGCGUAAAGCGCGCGUAGGUGGUUCGUUAAGUUGGAUGUGAAAGCCCCGGGCUCAACCUGGGAACUGCAUUCGAAACUGACGAGCUAUAGUAUGGUAGAGGGUGGUGGAAUUUCCUGUGUAGCGGUGAAAUGCAUAUAUAUAGGAAGGAACACCAGUGGCGAAGGCGACCACCUGGACUGAUACUGACACUGACGUGCGAGAGCGUGGGGA